rnacentral:rRNA from 1 species
GGUGAACGCUGGCGGCGUGCUUAACACAUGCAAGUCGAACGGAAAGGCUCCUGCUUGCAGGGGUACUCGAGUGGCGAACGGGUGAGUAACACGUGGGUGAUCUGCCCAGCACUUCGGGAUAAGCCUGGGAAACUGGGUCUAAUACCGGAUAGGACGAUGGUCUGGAUGCCAUUGUGGAAAGUUUUUUCGGUGUGGGAUGAGCUCGCGGCCUAUCAGCUUGUUGGUGGGGUAAUGGCCUACCAAGGCGUCGACGGGUAGCCGGCCUGAGAGGGUGUACGGCCACAUUGGGACUGAGAUACGGCCCAGACUCCUACGGGAGGCAGCAGUGGGGAAUAUUGCACAAUGGGCGCAAGCCUGAUGCAGCGACGCCGCGUGGGGGAUGACGGCCUUCGGGUUGUAAACUCCUUUCGCUAGGGACGAAGCGCAAGUGACGGUACCUGGAGAAGAAGCACCGGCUAACUACGUG